rnacentral:rRNA from 1 species
GACAGAGGGUGCAAACGUUGUUCGGAAUUACUGGGCGUAAAGCGCGUGUAGGCGGCCCAGCAAGUCGGAUGUGAAAGCCCUGGGCUUAACCUAGGAAGUGCAUUCGAAACUGCUGGGCUUGAGUUCUGGAGAGGAAGGCGGAAUUCUCGGUGUAGAGGUGAAAUUCGUAGAUAUCGAGAGGAACACCGGUGGCGAAGGCGGCCUUCUGGACAGUGACUGACGCUGAGACGGCGAAAGCG